rnacentral:rRNA from 1 species
GAUGAACGCUAGCGGCAGGCCUAAUACAUGCAAGUCGAACGGUGUCUUCGGACAUAGUGGCGCACGGGUGCGUAACACGUAUGCAACCUACCUUACAUUGGGGGAUAGCCUUUCGAAAGGGAGAUUAAUACCGCAUAAGACAGUAGCUGGGCAUCCAGCAGCUGUUAAAGAUUUAUCGAUGUAAGCUGGGCAUGCGUCCAAUUAGCUAGUUGGUGAGGUAACGGCUCACCAAGGCAAUGAUUGGUAGGGGAACUGAGAGGUUAAUCCCCCACCCGGGCACGGAGAUCCGGGCCAGACUCCUCCGGGAGGCUGCAGUAGGGAAUAUAGGGAAAUGGACGAAAGUCUUACCCACCCAUGCCGCGUGCAGGAUGAAGGCGUUAUGCUUUGUAAACUGCUUUUAUACAGGAAGAAACGACUCUUGCGAGAGGCAUUGACGGUACUGUAUGAAUAAGCACCGGCUAACUCCGUGCCAGCAGCCGCCGUAACAC